AACGAACGCUGGCGGCAGGCCUAACACAUGCAAGUCGAGCGAGAUCUUCGGGUCUAGCGGCGGACGGGUGAGUAACGCGUGGGAAUAUGCCUCUUGGUACGGAAUAGCCUCGGGAAACUGGGAGUAAUACCGUAUGUGCCCUUUGGGGGAAAGAUUUAUCGCCAAGAGAUUAGCCCGCGUUGGAUUAGGUAGUUGGUGGGGUAAUGGCCUACCAAGCCGACGAUCCAUAGCUGGUUUGAGAGGAUGAUCAGCCACACUGGGACUGAGACACGGCCCAGACUCCUACGGGAGGCAGCAGUGGGGAAUCUUAGACAAUGGGGGCAACCCUGAUCUAGCCAUGCCGCGUGAGUGAUGAAGGCCUUAGGGUUGUAAAGCUCUUUCAGCUGGGAAGAUAAUGACGGUACCAGCAGAAGAAGCCCCGGCUAACUCCG
rnacentral:rRNA from 1 species